UGUAGGUCUGCCUGGUCUCUGAGGAAGCUCAGGCUUUUGUGGUACUCUUUUUGCUCCCUGUGCUGAUGGUGGCCAGAGAUGUGACCUUUACUGCUGGAUGUACCAGGUGCUGUGUGCCUGUUCUUAUGCUGUGGUGCCCUGUAUGAUGGAGGAACUGCCUUGUGUAAUGCCCUGGAAGCCUUCCCUCCAUAUGGGGCCAAGCAAGCUGGCUUUCACACAAUGCUGCAUGAGGUUGUCAUCUGGCUGAAAUUAGGGCGCUGGGAAAUCAAAUGGCUGGAGCACUGGCACAGCCGCUGACAUCACAGAUUUGGAAAGAGCAACAGAAAAACUGACUGAGGGAAGCAGAUGCAUCUCCUUCAUUGUGGAAAGAAGCAACAUGAAGGUAGCUAGUGCGUUCCAACAGCAACUGAGAGGAAGCACUGUCAAAUCAAUGGGAGAGCUUUGGGUUUAAUUCUGUCUGGAAAAGUGUUGAUUCCUGGCUGAACGUGCACUUCUGUGAGUGGUCAGGGCUGGGUGCUGCUGGAGCCUAGGGGCACAUGCGGCUUAACUGCCUCAAGCCACUCCUGUACGUUGAUUCUUCAGUUCUAUAUUGCUCCCCUGAAGCUAAUGAUAAUCAAGAAUUUAUUUUUUCUGCAUAAUCUACAUUGGCCUUUCCACACAUUAAACCCAAGAUCGCACCACAUCAUUUAAAAUUGCAUCCAGAAAUGAUUUCCUCUCUCUGCUAAAGCCUCUGCUGAACGUCCGCUAUGCAGAUCUGAAAUUGGAUUACCUCUCCCUGGCAGCAGAGGAGAUGAGGACUGGAGAGAGCCAGAGGAAGCAUUUUGUUCAAAUUUAUUGUCGAACUAAAUCAAUCUCCAUAUGAAAAGACUUAUAUCUUUGUCGAUGUAGGCUGUUUUUAGCCCAGACACCGAUAAAUUGUGGUCAAUCAGAGGAAGGCAGCAAGCUGCUUUUUGGUGGAGCCCUGCCUCUCCUGAGCUCUCUAUUUCUAGUUUUCAGCUCUGUCACUGCAUAGGCUGAAAUUUGAUUUCCUUGCCUGAAGUGUCUCAGUUAUCAGUGUUGACCGAGCAGUUCACCUGCUUCUGAUAUCAGUGUCUGCAUUACGGAAUGGGCUGCACUGCAGGGGAUGGAGUGAGCACGGGGAGGUGAGCAGAGGCUGUGCCCUGGUGCUGGGGAUGCUGGUGCUGAAGCUCCAGCCUCCGCCAUGGGGUGCUGGGAAUGAAUUUCAGCAGCUGCCCCACAGACUGAGAACCGACAGUUUCCUAAAUGCUUUCUCCCCCUGAAGCCAUGGUGGUGUGGGAGCAGCGUCAGGGUUAUAUGAGGGAGAGGGCUUGGGAGUAUGUAGGGCUGGAGGGCUGCUCCUGCAUGUACAAGGAAAUAGACUGGUUCAGUGAAGCAGUGCCAUGCUGACAUCUGCUUCUCUGUAAUAAUCCUGUGCUGUGUAAUAAUAAACCCACGGUGCUCCAAAUCCAGCAGGAAGAAAGCUGCUUAUUGAUGCAGACAAGUGCACAGUCGCUGUCUUGUUUCUCCCCUGUAAAACUUUAAGUAUUCUGGAACCUGUCUCAUCAGCUGUCUGGGAGCAGGCAGAAUUUGCAUCCUCCAGCUUCCUGGCAGGGAGUGGGGCAGCUCUCUGCUAAACACAGCCUGAGGAAAGCCUCAUGGAGGAGGUGAGCUUUUAACCUGGACCAACCUUUCUGACAGCGUGAAUAAUGAGACAUUUUGAUGUAUCAAUAGCGAUUUCUUGGGAGCGUGUUUCCUAUUUGAUUUGCUUGAAAUGAUGCACACAGGUCAGCCCAGCCUGGUGAAUCGUUUACUGUGGGUGAUUCCAGAAUGGGGCCAGGAACUUCUGGGGGCUUCGGGUACAUCAGCAGGGAUGGCUCCAGCUGCCCCGUGUGGGGGUUCUGUGCCUGGGCAAUUCUAAUGGCUCAGGCUGUUCAAUACUGCCGUGGGAAGCGGAGAACAGCUGUCCCAGGGCUCUCUGUGCUUUAUUCUCCUUAAGGCAGCUGCCAGCUGGAGGAUGCUUAAAGAGCUGCCUGUGGUAAUGACGAAGCCCUCCGGUAAAAUAAAAGUAAGGCAUGGUGGGAGCUGUGAGCUCACAAGUGGAGCACAAAUUCCAGUCCUGCAUGCAGGGUUUGCUCAGAACUGAGGCUUAUCAGCCCUCCGUAGGGCUCCCCGGGCACGUCUCAUUUAAGCUUAAAUCAGACUGAAAU